rnacentral:rRNA from 1 species
AUAUAGAUUAAGUUAUUAAGGGCGCACGGUGGAUGCCUUGGCACUAGAAGCCGAUGAAGGACGUUACUAACGACGAUAUGCUUUGGGGAGCUGUAAGUAAGCUUUGAUCCAGAGAUUUCCGAAUGGGGAAACCCAGCACGAGUUAUGUCGUGUUAUCUGCAUGUGAAUACAUAGCAUGCAAGAAGGCAGACCCGGAGAACUGAAACAUCUUAGUACCCGGAGGAAGAGAAAGAAAAAUCGAUUCCCUGAGUAGCGGCGAGCGAAACGGGAAGAGCCCAAACCAAUAAGCUUGCUUAUUGGGGUUGUAGGACACUCUG